UACGGAGGGGGCUAGCGUUGCUCGGAAUUACUGGGCGUAAAGCGCACGUAGGCGGCUUUGCAAGUUAGAGGUGAAAGCCCGGGGCUCAACUUCGGAAUUGCCUUUAAGACUGCAUCGCUAGAGUUGUGGAGAGGUGAGUGGAAUUCCGAGUGUAGAGGUGAAAUUCGUAGAUAUUCGGAAGAACACCAGUGGCGAAGGCGACUUACUGGACACAUAUUGACGCUGAGGUGCGAAAGCGUGGGGAGCAAACAGG
rnacentral:rRNA from 1 species